UACAGGGGUCCCAAGCGUUGUUCGGAUUCAUUGGGCGUAAAGGGUGCGUAGGCGGCGCGGUAAGUCGGGUGUGAAAUCUCGGAGCUUAACUCCGAAACUGCAUUCGAUACUGCCGUGCUUGAGGACUGGAGAGGAGACUGGAAUUUACGGUGUAGCGGUGAAAUGCGUAGAUAUCAUAAGGAAGACCAGUGGCGAAGGCGGGUCUCUGGACAGUUCCUGACGCUGAGGCACGAAGGCCAGGGGAGCAAACGGG
rnacentral:rRNA from 1 species